AGAUACAGCGCUUCCCUUCACAGCAACCAGAUGCAUGUUUUGAAUUGACACAGGCAGUUUAUCCAUAUUCCUGGACUGCUAAGCACUACUUUCAGCAACUCUCAGGGCUAGAACUCAUUCCCUGGGAAAUUUCUUUCCUGAUGAAUCUUCAAGAUUUACCAGCAGGAGUGCAGAUCUGAGAUAAAACGACCCAUCUUUGCUUCUUUCAGAUGGCAGAGACCAGCUUCUGAUACUGAAGUUUCACUAAAACCAAUGGCAGCAAUGUGAAUGUGCACCCAUUGAGAAAUUGGCCCCAGUCACGUGUUUCCUGAAAUCAUUUGCUUAGAAUAAAGGUUUAAUGCCCCAUCA